CCCUUAGAUGUCCUGGGCUGCACGCGCGCUACACUGAUGUGUCCAGUAAGCACCUAACCUCUUCCGAAAGGAACGGGUAACCUUUGCAAAGCACAUCGUGAUGGGGAUAGAUUAUUGCAAUUAUUAGUCUUGAACGAGGAAUACCUUGUAAGCGCGGGUCAUCAUCCCGCGCUGAAUACGUCCCUGCCCUUUGUACACACCGCCCGUCGCUCCUACCGAUUGAGUGGUCCGGUGAGGCUUUGGGAUCUGAGCGGAAAGAGCGUUUCGCUGUUUCUGCUCGGAAAACUCAGUCGAACCUUAUCAUUUAGAGGAAGGAGAAGUCGUAACA
rnacentral:rRNA from 1 species